GGCAACUAAGCCUGCAUUAAUGCCAACUUUUAGCGCACGGCUCUCUCCCAAGAGCCAUUUCCCUGGACCGAAUACAGGAAUCGUAUUCGGUCUCUUUUU
rnacentral:sRNA from 1 species